rnacentral:rRNA from 1 species
AGUCGCACAUUAUGGACCCGAAGCGGAGUGAUCUACCCAUGGCCAGGGUGAAGCGACGGUAAGACGUCGUGGAGGCCCGAACCCACUUAGGUUGAAAACUGAGGGGAUGAGCUGUGGGUAGGGGUGAAAGGCCAAUCAAACUCCGUGAUAGCUGGUUCUCCCCGAAAUGCAUUUAGGUGCAGCGUCACGUGUUUCACGCCGGAGGUAGAGCUACUGGAUGGCCUAGGGGGCCCACAAGCUUACCGAAGUCAGCCAAACUCCGAAUGCCGGUGUGUGAGAGCGUGGCAGUGAGACUGCGGGGGAUAAGCUUCGUAGUCGAGAGGGAAACAGCCCAGAUCGCCGGCUAAGGCCCCUAAGCGUGUACUAAGUGGAAAAGGAUGUGGGGUCGCUUAGACAACCAGGAGGUUGGCUUAGAAGCAGCCACCCUUGAAAGAGUGCGUAAUAGCUCACUGGUCAAGUGAUCCUGCGCCGACAAUGUAGCGGGGCUCAAGUACACCGCCGAAGCCGCGGCAUUUCAGCAUUAUCCUGCUUUCGAGCCAGGAGCUGGGAUGGGUAGGGGAGCGUCCUGUGGCCGUGGAAGCAGCGGAGUGAUCCAGCUGUGGAGGCCACGGGAGUGAGAAUGCAGGCAUGAGUAGCGAAAGACGAGUGAGAAACUCGUCCGCCGAAUGACCAAGGGUUCCUGGGCCAGGUUAAUCCGCCCAGGGUGAGUCGGGACCUAAGGCGAGGCCGACAGGCGUAGUCGAUGGACAACGGGUUGAUAUUCCCGUACCCGUGUAUCCGCGCCCAAUGGCGAAUCAGUUGUGCUAAUCGUCCAAAUGUUUUCUUAUCGAGCCUUCGGGUGAGAGGGAGAAUUGCUGCACGAGACCCUGGCUGUAGUAGUCAAGCGAUGGGGUGACGCAGGAAGGUAGCUGGGCCAGGUGAUGGAAUACCUGGUGUAAGCCUGUAGGGCGUUGUGUAGGCAAAUCCGCACAACAUGUAGCCUGAGAGGUGAUGCGUAGCCGUUGUGGUGAAUUCAGUGAUCCUAUGCUGCCGAGAAAAGCCUCUAGUGAGUUGGUACACGGCCCGUACCCCAAACCGACACAGGUGGUCAGGUAGAGAAUACUAAGGCGAUCGAGAGAACUGUGGUUAAGGAACUCGGCAAAAUGCCCCCGUAACUUCGGGAGAAGGGGGACCACGCCUGGUGACGAGUCUUGCACUCUGAGCUGGGUGGGGUCGCAGAGACCAGAGAGAAGCGACUGUUUACUAAAAACACAGGUCCGUGCGAAGUCGUAAGACGAUGUAUACGGACUGACGCCUGCCCGGUGCCGGAAGGUUAAGAGGACCGGUUAGCGCUUCGGCGCGAAGCUGAGAAUUUAAGCCCCGGUAAACGGCGGUGGUAACUAUAACCAUCCUAAGGUAGCGAAAUUCCUUGUCGGGUAAGUUCCGACCUGCACGAAUGGCGUAACGACUUCUCUGCUGUCUCAACCACAGACUCGGCGAAAUUGCAUUACGAGUAAAGAUGCUCGUUACGCGCGGCAGGACGAAAAGACCCCGGGACCUUCACUAUAGCUUGGUAUUGGUGUUCGGUACGGUUUGUGUAGGAUAGGUGGGAGACUGUGAAGCUUGGACGCCAGUUCAGGUGGAGUCGUCGUUGAAAUACCACUCUGAUCGUAUUGGACUUCUAACCUCGGACCAUGAUCUGGUUCAGGGACAGUGCCUGGUGGGUAGUUUAACUGGGGCGGUUGCCUCCCAAAAUGUAACGGAGGCGCCCAAAGGUUCCCUCAGCCUGGUUGGCAAUCAGGUGUCGAGUGCAAGUGCACAAGGGAGCUUGACUGUGAGAGUGACAGCUCGAGCAGGGACGAAAGUCGGGACUAGUGAUCCGGCACCGGCAAGUGGAAGCGGUGUCGCUCAACGGAUAAAAGGUACCCCGGGGAUAACAGGCUGAUCUUCCCCAAGAGUCCAUAUCGACGGGAUGGUUUGGCACCUCGAUGUCGGCUCGUCGCAUCCUGGGGCUGGAGUAGGUCCCAAGGGUUGGGCUGUUCGCCCAUUAAAGCGGCACGCGAGCUGGGUUUAGAACGUCGUGAGACAGUUCGGUCUCUAUCCGCCGCGCGCGUUAGAAACUUGAGGAAGGCUGUCCCUAGUACGAGAGGACCGGGACGGACGAACCUCUGGUGUGCCAGUUGUUCCGCCAGGAGCACUGCUGGUUGGCUACGUUCGGAAGGGAUAACCGCUGAAAGCAUCUAAGCGGGAAGCCUGUUCCAAGAUGAGGUUUCUCUCCCACUUGAUGGGUUAAGGCCCCCUACAGACCAUGGGGUUGAUAGGCCGGAACUGGAAGC